rfam:Ajellomyces capsulatus H88 unplaced genomic scaffold supercont1.2, whole genome shotgun sequence.
GGCACUAUGGCGGAGUGGUUAACGCGAUGCCCUGCUAUUUUAAAUCCCAAAUCGCAGAAAAUUAUCCUUUCCGUAGGGUUAGGUUUAGUUAAGGCAUUUCCUUCGGGAGCGCAGGUUCGAAUCCUGCUGGUGUCG